rnacentral:rRNA from 1 species
UCGACGGACUCAUAUUGAAACCUAGUGAUUUAUGAGUUAGUGGCGGACGGGUGAGUAACGCGUGGAAAACCUGCCGUAUACCGGGGGAUAACACUUAGAAAUAGGUGCUAAUACCGCAUAAGCGCACAGCUUCGCAUGAAGCAGUGUGAAAAACUCCGGUGGUAUACGAUGGUUCCGCGUCUGAUUAGCUAGUUGGCGGGGUAACGGCCCACCAAGGCAGCGAUCAGUAGCCGGCCUGAGAGGGUGAACGGCCACAUUGGGACUGAGACACGGCCCAAACUCCUACGGGAGGCAGCAGUGGGGAAUAUUGCACAAUGGGGGAAACCCUGAUGCAGCGACGCCGCGUGAGUGAAGAAGUAUUUCGGUACGUAAAGCUCUAUCAGCAGGGAAGAAAAUGACGGUACCUGACUAAGAAGCCCCGGCUAACUACGUGCCAGCAGCCGCGGUAAUACGUAGGGGGCAAGCGUUAUCCGGAUUUACUGGGUGUAAAGGGAGCGUAGACGGCAGCGCAAGUCUGGAGUGAAAUGCCGGGGCCCAACCCCGGAACUGCUUUGGAAACUGUGCAGCUUGAGUGCGGGAGAGGUAAGUGGAAUUCCUAGUGUAGCGGUGAAAUGCGUAGAUAUUAGGAGGAACACCAGUGGCGAAGGCGGCUUACUGGACCGUAACUGACGUUGAGGCUCGAAAGCGUGGGAAGCAAACAGGAUUAGAUACCCUGGUAGUCCACGCCGUANACGAUGAUUACUAGGUGUCGGGNGACCAAGGUCCUCCGGUGCCGGCGCAAACGCAUUAAGUAAUCCACCUGGGGAGUACGU